AUAAAAGGGAAGGAUAAUUACAAUCUAUUUUCUUAUAAUUGAACAAUUAUCAAUAUUUUUAGGAUUUUCUAACCCUACUAUAAAUAAUAAUAAUAUGGCCUUACUCUAGGGUUAGCGACACUGAGAAUCCUCAAAAGUUUUCUAGCUACAUGAAUCUAUAUAGAAGCCAUUACCAAGCCACUAAGAAAGAGCUUCCAAAUUAGGAAACUAAUUGGAGAACGACAUAAAAAAAAUUUAAAUCUCAAAAGUAGAACUGGGUUCCCAACCACUCUUUGAUUCAAUUGUUUCCUCAUCUCUUGAGACUUGUAGAACAAUAACCAACAGUGACAAUUCAAGGGUUACCCUACAUCCACAUCAUCAACAUCUCUUCCCCAAUUGUUUCUUUUAUAUAUAUAUAUAUAUAUAUAUAUAUAUUUGCUAUAGAAACAUAUUAGGAAUUUUUUUAAUGUUUGUUCCACAUAAUUCACAUGAUUAAACUAGAGUUCCUUUCUACUUAACAUGUUGAUUUUAUUGAGUUUUGAAUCCAAUAAUAAGAACACAUAGGGUUUUGAAUCUGAAUUGAUUGGGUUUUGAACUUUAUUAGUUAAUAGUAAAUAUAAUUAGAUUAUAUUUUCAUUUUUUUUAUUAGUUUUACAUAUUCGAAUUAAAUUUUUACCCUCUGUACAUGUGAAAAUCAGUUUUGGGCACGAGAAAUCAAGAAGAACUGCAGAAAAGCCACCUGAAGCCUGUAGAGCUUAUCGACUCAAUGCAGAGCCGAUCGGCUCUAACCAUGAGGCAAUCGGCUGUGCAUAAUUUUUAGCUUGGCCUAGAGAAGCGGUCCAACGAGGGCGGAAAGUGGACACUGGGGCAAGGAUAGGAUGCCUGGACAAGGAGUGGCUUCUAGCAGGCUUCUAGGAUGGCAGCACUCUAAGUUGUAGGAACUCCAAAGUUAAACGUGUUUGGUUCAGAGAAAUUUACAAAAGUGCUCUAGUGAAUUACCCGGGUGGCGACUCCUAUCUCUAUGCUAGUUGCUGUGACUAGUUAGCAUGUUCUCGAUUAGGUUGAAAAGCCUUGCAAGCCGUAGUCGCUAAAGACACUUGGGUGCACGCCCGAAAUGGCCACCCACAGUAUAUUUUGGUCUUCUAAUGUAUAGGUAGACAAGAGUGAGGUUUUUUGGUGUUUUGGGUGAAUAAGAGAAUGAUUUUGUAAAGGAAAUAGUGGGUCUUAUGGCUGGAACUAUUCCUAAAUUAGGAAUUUUGAUAGUAAGGUGUAUCUUUAUAGUGUAAUAUAGGUUAAUCAAGGAAACUCUUUAUGGGUGGAGUAUUUAUUAAUAAAGGAAAAGCUUUUGGGUUGGUGAA